rnacentral:rRNA from 1 species
CCCUAUGGGGUGCAGCAGGCCGAGAGGGUGUCGGUGCUUGGGUAGGCGCACGGUCAUCAGGAACAUCACCUGCGGCAGCGUUGGCCAGCGUUUCGAUGCUGUCUGCCAGCAAGCGUAAAUCCUGCACGACGUCCAGCGCCAGUUUCAUCUUGGACAUUUCGCUUUUCCUCCUUGAUGUCAUAGGUCAAAAUGGGCAAAAGAAAACCCGCCUAACCAGCAGGUGGGUGCGCGGAUGGUGUUCAUACUCGAUCACACUUCCCGGAACAAGCGGUCGGCCUCGCACAGAAGUGCGUCCUUCAGAUUGAUUCGUUCCCACGGCAGAUUCAGUUCCGAUCGGCCAUAGUGGCCAUAAGCUGCCAGAGCGGAGUAACCAGGACGACACAGGUUAAGCUGCCGAAUGAUCAUGGCGGGGGGGC